rnacentral:rRNA from 1 species
GACGAACGCUGGCGGCGUGCCUAAUACAUGCAAGUAGAACGCUGAAGGAGGAGCUUGCUCUUCUGGAUGAGUUGCGAACGGGUGAGUAACGCGUAGGUAACCUGCCUGGUAGCGGGGGAUAACUAUUGGAAACGAUAGCUAAUACCGCAUAACAGUAGAUGUUGCAUGACAUUUACUUAAAAGGUGCAAUUGCAUCACUACCAGAUGGACCUGCGUUGUAUUAGCUAGUUGGUGGGGUAACGGCUCACCAAGGCGACGAUACAUAGCCGACCUGAGAGGGUGAUCGGCCACACUGGGACUGAGACACGGCCCAGACUCCUACGGGAGGCAGCAGUAGGGAAUCUUCGGCAAUGGACGGAAGGCUGACCGAGCAACGCCGAGUGAGUGAAGAAGGGUGUCGGAUCGUAAAGCUCUGUUGUAAGAGAAGAACGAGUGUGAGAGUGGAAAGUUCACACUGUGACGGUAUCUUACCAGAAAGGGACGGCUAACUACGUG